rnacentral:rRNA from 1 species
AUUGAACGCUAGCGGGAUGCCUUACACAUGCAAGUCGAACGGCAGCGCGGACUUCGGUCUGGCGGCGAGUGGCGAACGGGUGAGUAAUAUAUCGGAACGUGCCCAGUAGCGGGGGAUAACUACUCGAAAGAGUAGCUAAUACCGCAUACGCCCUACGGGGAAAGGGGGGAGUCGCAAGACCUCUCACUAUUGGAGCGGCCGAUAUCGGAUUAGCUAGUUGGUGGGGUAAAGGCCCACCAAGGCGACGAUCCGUAGCUGGUUUGAGAGGACGACCAGCCACACUGGGACUGAGACACGGCCCAGACUCCUACGGGAGGCAGCAGUGGGGAAUUUUGGACAAUGGGGGAAACCCGUGAUCCAGCCAUUCCGCGUGCAGGAUGAAGGCCUUCGGUUGUAAACUGCUUUUGUACGGAGCGAACGGUACUACCCUAAUACGGUGGGCGUAA